UUUUUAUUGUGUCACUUUUUCUGUUUGUACGGAAGCCGAGAGAGGCCCUUUUUGUAAUACUUUUUUUAAUUCACCCUGUUAUCCCGAGAUAACGACAUAAUU